AAAGGGUAUGCAUAUAAAUGUCGAUGCAAGGGUUGCCUUACGGCACCUGUCGUGUAUCGAACUCAAAUCAGGCGGCACAAUUCGCAAGCCUAUUGCGUUCCGUUUCCCCCCUUCUCUCUACACCGGCUCCUACAGGUUUUUCUGACAUCCUCUGGCAAUCCAAGCGCUUAUUGAGCGUAAGAGACGAAGUGGACAAAAUUUCCCAAAAAAAAAGAGACGAAGUGGAUUGGUGAGAAGUAGCGCCUUUUAGAAACUUGGGCUUUAGGGUUCGGAAGAUGGCGAGCUGCGGUGGAAGCGGUUACCGGGGAGGGAAGGUGGUUGGAGACUACAUGUUCGGCCGUCAGAUCGGUUCGGGAUCCUUCUCGGUGGUGUGGUUGGCAAGGCACCGCGUGCACGGAGUGGAGGUGGCGGUUAAGGAGAUCGUGAUGGAGAAGCUCACCAAGAAGCUCCAGGAAAGCCUUCUCUCAGAGAUUGCAAUUCUGAAGCGCAUCAAGCAUCCCAAUAUUAUCGCAAUGCACGAUAUCAUCGAGGCCUCUGGGAGAAUUUAUCUCAUAUUAGAAUACUGCAGAGGUGGCGACCUAUCCCUGUAUAUACGACGGCAUGGAAGAGUUUCAGAAGCUACUGCAAAGCACUUUAUGCAACAACUAGCUAAUGGCUUGCAAGUUCUCCGCGACAACAAUCUAAUUCAUCGUGAUCUAAAGCCACAGAAUCUCCUUUUGUCAGCAAUGGAUGACAAUUCGGUGCUGAAAAUUGCAGAUUUUGGUUUUGCAAGGUCCUUGCAGCCACUUGGCUUAGCUGAAACUUUAUGCGGCUCCCCUCUUUACAUGGCUCCAGAAAUAAUGCAGCUUCAGAAAUAUGAUGCCAAGGCAGAUCUCUGGAGUGUUGGUGCGAUCUUAUUUCAGCUUGUCACUGGCAAAACUCCUUUCACCGGAAACAAUCAAAUACAGUUAUUGCAAAAUAUAGUGAAAUCAAAUGAUCUACGCUUCCCCUCAGAAAGCAAUUUGAGUCACCAUUGCAUUGAUUUGUGCAAAAAGUUAUUACGUCGCAAUCCAGUGGAGCGCUUAACUUUUGAGGAGUUUUUCAACCACCAAUUUCUCUCACAAUCCAAAGCAGAUGAACCGUUGAGUGGAACCUCAUGUGUUAGAACAGUUGAACGCACGUCUAGACAGACACUGGGUUAUCAAGAAGACUGCAUGCCUUUUCCUCUAGAAGAUAAAGAUGGUGGACCUGAUCAAAGCCUGACGGCACGAAUGAAUAGUUCUGUUAGGUCCACUUAUGGUUUUCAUGUGGGAGCAGAUAAAGACUCGUUUAAUAAGCCUUCAAUGAAUUUGGGUGUUCUUUCCAAGCAUAGCUUCCCAAAUAAAAUGGAAACAUCUGGUUAUUAUGAGCAUGAUUCUUACAGACAUUUGAGUGGAAAUAUGAAGCAAAUCAAUGCUUCUUCAAAAGGCACCAAACAUGAUCACAGAUUUAUGGAUUCAUUAGAUUUGGUUGAUCAGGAAUAUGUCAUGGUUCCUGAACCAUCCCUGGAGAUGCCAUCCUAUUCAUUAAGCUUUCCAGAGUCGCAAAACUCACCAUAUAAACUAGAUAGCUCGCUGAUGGAAACUAAAAAAAAUAGUGGAUUAAGUGUACCAGUGCCAAUUGUAAGUGCUGCAAUCACUAAGAUCAAUACCAUUGGAAGCCUGGAAAGUCACAGCUCACCAAUUUCUGGUACGUCUCAAGGAUCCUUGGAUGUUGGGGAUACUUUUGAACAGCCAUCAGUUCACUACGUUACAAGAAUUAGAUCAUUGCAACAAUGUGGCUCUGUUAUAUCUGAGUUGGUGAAGGGAGAGAGUGAAAAUGGGAGACAAUUGGAGGCAUUCUCUGUUCAGUUAGUACUUCUAGCAAUCUGGAAGCAAGCUCUGAACAUCUGUCACAGGCAAGCUACUUUUUCUAUAGAAGGUUGCCCUUCUCAUGAGUUUAAAUACCAAGAAAACAUAAAUGCUUCUCCUAGUGCUAGACACUGCUUUAGAAGCAGUGAGUCUGAAGUGACGGAUCUUGUUUCUUCCGAAAUUGAGAAAGAAUUUCUUCUUUCAGUGGAGCAUGCUGAGGAACUUGAAAAGGCCAUGGGACAAGUAGAUGAAGCUACAGAGAUGCCUGAUGCGAUUGAGAUAAUUUACCAAAAUGCAUUGGCUUUGGGAAGACUUGGUGCUGUUGAUGAGAUGAUGAAAAAUAUAGAAAGAGCAGAGGAUCGCUACUCAAAAGCGGUGUGUUUACUACACUUCCUUCUGGUGGAAGCACCAUCCCUCGCUCUCAACCCGCCACUCUCCUUGACAAGCUCUGAUCAACUCCGCCUCCGGACUUACAUUGAUAUCAUUAGCAAUAGACACUGCCAGUCCCGCUCACAAAGAAUAGCCCUCCUCAAUGAACGCUAGCCAGUUAAUUCAUUUUUCGACCACCCUUCAAAGAAAAAAAAAAGUACAGUGAUUAUUUGACCAGUGGCUUUGUGUUCUGGUGCGAUUUGUUGUUUGUAGAUGGCAAUAGUUUGGUGGUUCAAAUGUUCAGCAACUUUAGGAUAAAUUGCCUUGAUUGUGAUAUAAAAAUAUGUAAGAAAGAAAGAAAUGUAUGUUGAAUAAAGAUAGACGCUAAAAAAAUUUAUGUGUUCGUCUGUCUACUGCAUGGAAGCAUGGGGUAUUAAGCUCUUUACACCAUUCGAAUUACAGCCUCAAAUACUUUUUGAAUCUGUGCCUAUUAUUGUGAUAAAAAGG